GACGAACGCUGGCGGCGUGCUUAACACAUGCAAGUCGAACGGUGAAAGCGGAGCUUGCUCCGCUGGAUCAGUGGCGAACGGGUGAGUAACACGUGGGCAACCUGCCCCUCACUUCGGGAUAACUCCGGGAAACCGGGGCUAAUACCGGAUAUGACCUCCUUGAGCAUCCUUGGAGGUGGAAAGUUUUUCGGUGAGGGAUGGGCCCGCGGCCUAUCAGCUUGUUGGUGAGGUAGUGGCUCACCGAGGCGACGACGGGUAGCCGGCCUGAGAGGGCGACCGGCCACACUGGGACUGAGACACGGUCCAGACUCCUACGGGAGGCAGCAGUGGGGAAUAUUGCGCAAUGGGCGAAAGCCUGACGCAGCAACGCCGCGUGCGGGAUGACGGCCUUCGGGUUGUAAACCGCUUUCAGCAGGGAAGAAGCCGCAAGGUGACGGUACCUGCAGAAGAAGCACCGGCUAACUACGUGCCAGCAGCCGCAGUAA
rnacentral:rRNA from 1 species